rnacentral:tRNA from 1 species
GCACUGGUGGUUUAGUGGUAAAAUUGGACAUUGCCAAGUUGAUUAUACUCGACGUUGUCUAGCCCCGGGUUCGAUUCCCGGCCAGUGCA